CACCGAUAUAAACCGACCCCGAGUCCUCCCUCGUUCCAGGCCACUCCUCACUCAUCUCUCUGUCUCAGAGUAGCUAGAGGAGGAGCUUUGCUUCGUCUUCCACUCGGAGCGACGGAGAAAAUCGAGCCGAGGCCUGUCAUCGCCGUGAUCGAGAUAUCCAUGAGGACCGUCGCCGUCGAGUUUGGUUCUGGCAGUUGCUGUCCCGGACGUGGAGCACAACAUCGUCCACGAUGACCGUGAGCACACCGACGCGUCCUGGGCGACAUGCAGCCCCAUCGCGCGAGGAAACUCCGUUCCCCGUGACGCCUCCGUCCUUCCUGAGCAGCCUCAGUGAGCUUUCACUUCGUCGCCGACGUCGGAGUCCGUCUGCGCCGACGCGGAACGCGUCGCUGUCCGAGCCCACGCCCUGGAGCACGACCAGCUCCGCCCACCCAUCCGAGACAGCCAGGGUGAGCAGCAGCGCGUCUCAGCGCUGUCGGCCGCUUCUCCUCUGCGUCGUCUCCCUCGUCCCCGAGCUGCCCCGUCUCCGUCGUCAAGUCGCCGUGCAGAUUCCGUCCUGGCGCCGCCCUCGUACGCGUCCUCGCCAAACCGCGACGUCAUCUCGGCCUCUGCGCCUCUCCGCAUCCUUCAGCCGUCGUCAACGAGCCCCACGAAUGCGAGUACUAUCGGAGAAGGAGAGGAUCUUGGUGAGGAUGUCGAAGAGGAAAGAAGAGCAGAGGUCCGUGAAGAAGAAGUCCAGGGACAAAUAUCCAACAAAGGCAAGCCACCUCUUGAUGCAUACCUUGUCCUAAUUAUCUUGCUCAUGCAUUAUUACAUGUUUUAUAAAUUGCAUGUUUUAUUUAUUUAUGUGAGUGGUCAUGCCACUCGGAGUUUUAUUAUUCCACCCUUACGGGUGCAGCCCUCGUUGAUACCUACUGAACAAACACAUGUUAGAGAUAUGGUGCCUAACACCUUAUCCUCUCUUUGUCGCCGCUUUUCAAGUAAAGCUAGACUAUAGGUUGGGAGCCCUUUUAAAAAGAUGUUUUAUGAAAAAGGUUUCGAGAAAGGAAGUUCUUCAAAAACCUUGGAAUGGGGCAACCCUGCCCAAGUGUGAGUUUUUGAAAAGAAAAAGUGUUUGCAAAAGAAGUUUUGCUGGAGGCAAGUGCAGGAAAGAAAAUGUUUUCGAAAACUUUAGCGCCUAAGUACUCACCCGGACUAAAAGACAGUGCAACCACAUUACCCCAAAGUGGGCACGGGGCGUAGCGUAGUAGUUUGUCUCGCCUUAGUUUGGGUCCUGCAAGUGUAAGGGGUAGUCCGAGCAUGGACACCUAUCGACCGGGCCUUCCCGACGUACUGGGGACGCCUUUCCUUCUUUUCAGAUGGCAGGGGUACAACCUAUGAGCUCCCAUUGAAUAAUGCCUCGCAGUUGGUCGCGGCAUUCCGGAGGGUCGAGCUGGUCGGGGAAUUUGCUACUCCUGGGUAAACGACCCCUCGGACUCUGGUGUUGGGAGGUACAACUCUAGGCGGCAUGUCUUAGGCUAAGGCGAGCAAGCGAAAAACUGCGAUCGGUUAUCCGAACCUCGCGUUUUGACGCUUGGUGAACCAGGGAUGAUCCCGGCGGAUUUAUCGGAUCUUGUGGGGAAAUGUACGACCUCUGUAGAGUGAAAACUAUUCGAAUAGCCGUGUCCGCGGUUAUGGACGGUUGGGAAGGCUGUUGCUUAGCCUGAAGAGUUUUGGUUUAUAAAAGUGUUUUUCAAAAAAAUUUGGAAAAGGAUACCAGUGGGACAGGUGGGAAUGUACCUGGGAGGUACGGUGGAAAAUUGGAAAAGUUGUUUUAGCCAUAUGAGAUGGCCGGGAAGGAAACGGGGUCACCCUUACCUAUUAGUCUUCAAAAGAAAACUUGUUUUUAAAAAGGUUUUCAACAAAGAUAUAGAGGUGUCAUAUUCUCGAGAGAAGCUAUCUCUCAUUCCUUGUAACCUUAGAAUACUGCCUAUUCCUUGCUACUGCCAAAUAUGCAUAUCAUUUACUUCUCUCCAAGGUGGUUUGCGAGUACAAUUCAUAAUGUACUCAUGGCUUUGUCCCUGGCUAUUUACUUGGCCAGACUUGGUGGAGUCUGACAGAUGAAGAAGGAGUCGACGCCGUCUAUGCGAGCUAAGAACGUCUUCCCAGUCAGUUGCCUGUAGGGUUAUGGCAUGACUUGGGCCAUGCGAACUCUUUCAUAUGAAGUUUCCGCUGUGUGAUUGUGGAUCUCCUGCCAUUGCGGCUCUUAUGUAAUAUUUGGUCAAAUGACCUGUUGUAAUCUUUUUAUUCGGUACUGUAAUGGAUCCUGUAUUUGAUACCAGUUCGGUUAUGCCUUCACGACACACUGAUCAUGGGAUCGUGAAUGUGUAUGCAUAACGGGUGUUUCGGACAGCUAAUCCGGGGCCCCACAGUUACAGACUGUACCUUGUGAACUUCGUCCAAUGAUUAACCAGAUGUGUCCGCAUGAAGGGUCUUUCACUAUGCAUGGCAAUGGCAAAUUGAUGAACACCUACACGGUCUAUGAGGUGUAUGUCUACAAGACGCAGACCAUCACAUAUUUGUAUGGACAUGAUUGGAGAAAGUUUGCUUUUGACUACGGUCUGAAGAAGGGCGACGAGCUGAGGAUCUGAAAAUCAAACGGGCAGAUAUACGUAACUGCUUACAGAUUUGGAGACACUUCCAAAUAUAUAAUAUG